UUUAAUUAAAGCACUAUUUACCUUUUUUGUUUUCUUGUUGAUCUUUCCAUUAUUAAUAGCUUCUAUGUGCAUUUGUUGACAGAAAAAAUAUUGAUUCUAAUGGCAGCCAAAAGCAAGAUUUUGAUUGUGGGAGGGAGUGGCUAUGUUGGUAAGUUUAUGGUGGAAGCAAGUGCCAAGGCUGGCCAUCCAACCUAUGUUCUUCUUAGACAUUCUACUCUCUCCAACCAUUCCAAGUCUCAUAUUGUCAACAAUUUCAAGACCUUGGGGGUCCAUUUUCUCUUUGGUGAUUUAUAUGAUCAUGAGAGUUUAGUUAAGGCAAUUAAAGAAGUGGAUGUGGUGAUAUCAACCGUAGGGCAUGAUCAAUUACCUGAUCAAUGUACACUCAUCUCUGCCAUCAAAGAAGUUGGCCAUAUUAAGAGAUUCUUCCCAUCAGAAUUUGGGAAUGAUGUGGAUCGUGUACGUGGUGUUGAGCCAGCAAAAUCAGCUUUUGCUGCAAAGGCUAAAGUUCGUAGAGCUUUGGAGGCUUCAAGGAUUCCUUAUACAAUUGUUUCCUCUAAUUUCUUUGAUGAUUGGUUUCUGUCAAGUUUGGCUCAACCUGAACCUUCUACUCCACCGUUUCCACCUAGAGAUCGAGUUUUUAUCAUUGGAGAUGGAAAUCCCAAAGCAAUAUUCAACAAGGAAGAAGACAUUGCAACUUACACAAUUAGAACUGUGGAUGAUCCAAGAACUUUAAACAAAAUCGUUUAUGUUAGACCUCCUAAAAAUAUUUACUCCUUCAAUGAUCUUGUCUCUCUUUGGGAGAAUAAAAUUGGCAAAACCCUCCAGAAAAUCUAUAUUCCAGAGGCUCAAGUGCUGAAGAACAUUUCAGCGACGGAGAUCCACGACGACAUCGAAUCUAAUUAACGUUUCGAAGACAACGACCCACACUCGUUUUCUCAUCGACGGCGACCCACACUCGUUUUAAAGAUUUCGAAGACAGUUAAUAAGGUUAUGAAGAAAAAUGUGUGGGGUUUUCAUAAUUCUAAGAGUUACAACAGCAAAGUAUUUUUCCACUGGCUGAAUCUGGAACGCAACUUCCACUCCCAAAUUUUCUUCGAACGCAAGAACUUUGACAUUCUUUAAUUUGAGAACUACUGGUGUUUGAGCAAGUUGAGUUACAAACUAAUGGCAGAGAGUGUCCUACCUUCACUUCCACAUCUACAUCAACAUCAAAUAAUUCAAAUGAAAGUUAGUUUUUCAUUGAUUGAGACAUGAAACUCUUUAUGUAAUUUCCAUUUCUUUCUUAUAAUUUGUACCCAAAAAAUUCACUUAGAAA